rnacentral:rRNA from 1 species
UGGGGAAUAUUGGACAAUGGGCGAAAGCCUGAUCCAGCCAUGCCGCGUGUGUGAAGAAGGUCUUCGGAUGGUAAAGCACUUUAAGUUGGGAGGAAGGGCAGUAAGCGAAUACCUUGCUGUUUUGACGUUACCGACAGAAUAAGCACCGGCUAACGCUGUGCCAGCAGCCGCGGUAAUACAGAGGGUGCAAGCGUUAAUCGGAAUUACUGGGCGUAAAGCGCGCGUAGGUGGUUCGUUAAGUUGAAUGUGAAAGCCCCGGGCUCAACCUGGGAACUGCAUCCAAAACUGGCGAGCUAGAGUAGGGCAGAGGGUGGUGGAAUUUCCUGUGUAGCGGUGAAAUGCGUAGAUAUAGGAAGGAACACCAGUGGCGAAGGCGACCACCUGGGCUCAUACUGACACUGAGGUGCGAAAGCGUGGGGAGCAAACAGG